AUGUCAUGAACAAGCAGCAAAUGAUUUUGCCUCUCCGGGAACCAUCACCUUAUUGUGGUAGAGAGGUUUGUGUGUCCCUAUGAACCUGAGAACUGUGUUG